rnacentral:rRNA from 1 species
GAUUUUGAUUCCACAUGCUUGUAACUACUCCCUCCGUCCCAUAUAUUGGAUGUAAUAAGAUCUCAUAUUAUGGGACGGAGGGAGUAGUUAUUAUCAUGUCUUGUCCAUCAAACUACCCUUUUAAAUUGCUAGUUAUUGAUGGUUAUUAGACUUGAGGGACACAGUCUGUCAUGAUGAAGUUGUUCUAUCAAGAGAUAUGCAUCUUCUGCUGGUAUCCUUUGAGCCAGCAUCAGCUAGUUUGCAUCAUUUUAAUUUUAUUUGUUACAUCGGCCUUAUAAAUAUGUAUCGUCUAUGUCAGUUAUGCAGCGGUGUUGAAUAAAAUGCUGCCGGUGCAUGUGCGCAGCUUGAUGAAUCGUUCGCUGAUAAUGCUCCACUGCUACUGUCGGGCUUCCACGUGAUACCACUUGAUGCCAAGACGGAUGCACCAUCAGCAACACGUACACCAGACCUUGCAUCUACUCUUGAGGUUAAGGUUAGACCUGGUGUGCUCCUAGUGAUGCAUCCGGCAAUAGAAGAUGAGUACUUACCAGUGCUUUCCAGUUCUCGUAUGAGAAACACCUUCGAGAGAGUGUUGCGGCAGUGGCGAGGGAGUAUGUGAGGACUGUGGUGGCACGGUGCAGAGAGUGGCCAUGGCAGUAGCCCCUUCUGGUCCUAGUGGACAGAGUGAAAUGAAGAACCCUCCAGGAUCUCCUGAUGCUCCCAUGCUUGCAAGGUUUCACACUGGAGCGGAACUCCUUUGCACGGACUCUCAGAGUGCGGACGCUUCCCUGAAAGCGUUGCGGCAGGACUCAGAUUCAAUCAUUUGCUGUUCCCUGAAGGCUGCUCCUGUGUUCAGCUUCGCUAAUCAAGUCGGCCUCGACAUGUCGGAGGCGAUGCUGAUUGCUCUCCAGGUUUCCCAAGAUCAUGCAUCAGGUACGUGGCCAGCCACCGCUCUGAAUGAAUUGCAGACUCGCCUCUGGGCUCCGGCUGUUUGUAACAAGAUUGAAAGUUUGAAACUCUUGUUGUGUCCAGGGUUUCGCGUACCUCCCCGGCGGCGUGUGCAUGUCGAGCAGGGGUAGGAAGGUCAUUUUGCUGCUGGAAGUUUGAUCUCCUGUAGGGCGGACGGAGCGAGAAGACUGACCGAUGGAGGUUCUGGCGCUGCUUGGUCUUUGAAAGCGCUGAUUGUUAUAGCCGAUGAUGCAUCAUAAAAGUGCCUGUUGGCUGGUUCAAGUGUCGGAGGCCGGUGGUAUUGAACCGGUGAACUAGUGUUGAUAUCCAUGCCAAUUGCGACGAAGACUCAGGUGGCCGGAAAGAAGCGCUGUGUUCUCCAUCUCAGUGUAUAUUUGGCGUCGCGCUGGGUUCCUCUUGCUACCAAGUUUAGUCUUAGGUUUUGUGAGAAAUGCAGUUUAAUGAUGACCGAUAUCAUAGUGGCUUGUAGUUUUUAGCUCAUAAAUUUUUUCUGAUGUGCCUUGUAGUUUUAGUCCAUCACAUGCUAUUCUG